rnacentral:rRNA from 1 species
CAAGCAAGAAAGAGCACAAGGUGGAUGCCUUGGCACUGAGAGCCGACGAAAGACGUGAUAAGCUGCGAUAAGCUGCGGCGAGGAGCACAUAUCCUGUGACCCGCAGAUUUCUGAAUGGGGAAACCCGGCAGAGCAAACCUCUGUCACCUUAACGCCAAUACAUAACGUUAAGGAGGGAACCCGCUGAACUGAAACAUCUAAGUAGGCGGAGGAAGAGAAAGAAACAUCGAUUCCGAAAGUAGCGGCGAGCGAAAUCGGAAGAGCCCAAACCAUGGUGCGUGCACUGUGGGGUUCGGACUGCAAACGUUAUCUUCAAGGAUAGCUGAAUGGCCCUGGAAAGACCAUCCAAAGAACGUGAGAGACGUGUAAGCGAAAUUUGAGAAGAGACAGCAGUAUCCAGAGUACAUCGAGACACGUGGAACCUUGAUGGAAGAUGGGGAGACCACUCCCUAAGGCUAAAUACUACUCAGUGACCGAUAGAGCAUAGUACUGUGAAGGAAAGGUGAAAAGGACCCCGGGAGGGGAGUGAAAGAGAACCUGAAACCUUGUGUUUACAAGCGGUGGAAGCACUAUCUAAAAGAAGUGCGACCGCGUACUUUUUGUAGAACGGUCCGGCGAGUUGCGGCCGGUGGCGAGGUUAAGGACUUAAGGUCCGGAGCCGAAGGGAUACCAAGUCUGAAUAGGGCGACAAAGUCAUCGAACGCAGACCCGAAACCGGGUGAUCUACCCAUGGUCAGGAUGAAGAUGCUGUAAAAGGCAUUGGAGGUCCGAAGCCACAUCCGUUGAAAAGGGUGGGCAUGAACUGUGGGUAGGGGAGAAAUUCCAAUCGAACCCGGAGAUAGCUGGUUCUCCUCGAAAUAGCUUUAGGGCUAGCCUUGUAUUAGUCUUACGGAGGUAGAGCACUGAAUUUCCUAGGGGGCGUCAAAGUCUACCAAAGAAUAUCAAACUCCGAAUGCCGUUAAGAUGAUGUACAGGAGUCAGACUACACGAGAUAAGUUGGGUAGUCAAAAGGGAAACAGCCCAGACCUACAGCUAAGGUCCCAAAGUACGUGUUAAGUGGAAAAGGAUGUGGGAUUUCAUAGACAACUAGGAUGUUGGCUCAGAAGCAGCCACACAUUCAAAGAGUGCGUAAUAGCUCACUAGUCGAGAGGUUCUGCGCCGAAAAUGUCCGGGGCUGAAACACGACACCGAAGCUUAGGAAUGUAGCAAUACAUUGGUAGAGGAGCAUUGUUAAAGCA